rnacentral:ncRNA from 1 species
UUGGAAGUGCCCUUCUGGUACGAGGCCUGACCGGAGGCUUUUAAUCUGGUACCACGGGUAACCAGGAGCCCACGGAACUUGUUCCGUCCUGGUUAGUUGGUGCGGCCCUUCGGGGAGUAUCGUGGUGGUUGUGGUUUAACACCCAAAUGCGGGUAGAGCAUCGCUCGACGUGGAGUUGCGUCAUACAACCGGGUUCCGUGACCCAGAUUACGGAAGAGGCUUAGAUAGUCCUCGUGCCAAACCAAGGUAGAAGUCACAACCAAACAGUCGUGUCUUUAAUUGGUACCUGCGGAAUUGUUCCAAGGGGGCGGUGAUUGACGCUUGAAUUAAUCCUAUACUAGGAACCGUGAGAUUAAGCCAUCGCGGCAGGUGCUCACGUUAAGCCCACUGACUUUCAUGUCCCUAUCUACUAUCUAGCGAAACCACAGCCAAGGGAACGGGCUUGGAAUAAUUAGCGGGGAAAGAAGACCCUUUUGAGCUUGACUCUAAUCUGGCAGUGUAAGGAGACAUAAGAGGUGUAGAAUAAGUGGGAGAUAUUAGACUUCGGUUUGGUAUCGACAAUGAAAUACCACUACUCUUAUUGUUUCCUUACUUACUUGAUUAAAUGGAACGUGUAUCAUUUCCUAGCCAUUAUACGGAUAUAAUUAUUAUGUCUUAUGGUAUUGGGUUUUGAUGCAAGCUUCUUGAUCAAAGUAUCACGAGUUUGUUAUAUAAUCGCAAACAAAUUCUUUAAUGAGAGAAUGCAUUUAUGUAUUAUUGAUUUUAAAAUUUGGUAUAACUCCAAUUACUCGGGUAUGAUGCAAUUCGAGGACAUUGCCAGGUAUGGAGUUUGACUGGGGCGGUACAUCUCUCAAAUAAUAACGGAGGUGUCCCAAGGCCAGCUCAGUGCGGACAGAAACCACACAUAGAGCAAAAGGGCAAAUGCUGACUUGAUCUCGGUGUUCAGUACACACAGGGACAGCAAAAGCUCGGCCUAUCGAUCCUUUUGGUUUAAAGAGUUUUUUGCAAAAGGUGUCAGAAAAGUUUCUAUAGGGGUAACUGGAUUUGUGGCGGUUAACCUUUUCU